GAAGCAUUAACCUUGACCUUGAUAAGAAGUUCUAAAGCAUGUAAAUGCCUGUUUUGAGAGUAUUUUCCAAGUUUUCCUAUUAGGAAAAUUUAUUUCAUAAUAUCUCUUCAAAGGUUGACUGUGUCCCUUUCAUCUUGGAUAAUUUGGGUUGCACUCUCUCAGUCAACUGUUGGCUUAGGAGGAGGUAUUUGUGCCUACACAGAGAUCAGGAAAAUCUGCCAUCGUUCAUAAGAAAUUGGAAGAUGUAGGUAGCAGAUUCCCAGCAUCAGGAGACUACUGCACGUUUGGAUUGUCCCAGCCAAAGCAAAAGAACUAUUGUAGGAGCUCAGCAUGCCCAAUAGUGGUGAUAUCACUGCCUUAAGAAAGACGCCGGUCCAAUAAUGAAAACCAGUUGAAAAGGGAAAGUGAGAGGUUUCUCUCAGCAUCAUUAAAAGUAGUGACAGCAGGAGGCCACAUGUGGAAGCACAAGACCCAACAGUAAUUUUCUUGGAGCUCAUCUACACUUACCGGAGGAUCGACACUGCGGCGAUCGUUGCAUUGGCGGUCGAUUUAGUGGGAGACCCACUGAUUGCUCUCCCGUCGACUCCUGUACACCACCUGAUCGAGAAGAGUAAGGGGAGUUGACAUUCCUGUCAAUGUCACAUAGUGUGGACCCUGCGGCUGUGAUCAAAUGGGGACAACAUUGCAUCUCAAAAG